rnacentral:rRNA from 1 species
AUUGAACGCUGGCGGCAUGCCUUACACAUGCAAGUCGAACGGUAACAGGUCUUCGGAUGCUGACGAGUGGCGAACGGGUGAGUAAUACAUCGGAACGUGCCCGAUCGUGGGGGAUAACGAAGCGAAAGCUUUGCUAAUACCGCAUAAGAUCUACGGAUGAAAGCAGGGGACCGCAAGGCCUUGCGCGAACGGAGCGGCCGAUGGAAGCUUAGGUAGUUGGUGGGAUAAAAGCUUACCAAGCCGACGAUCUGUAGCUGGUCUGAGAGGACGACCAGCCACACUGGGACUGAGGCACGGCCCAGACUCCUACGGGAGGAAGCAGUGGGGAAUUUUGGACAAUGGGCGAAAGCCUGAUCCAGCCAUGCCGCGUGCAGGAUGAAGGCCUUCGGGUUGUAAACUGCUUUUGUACGGAACGAAAAGACUCUGGUUAAUACCUGGUGUCCAUGACGGUACCGUAAGAAUAAGCACCGGCUAACUACGUG